AUGCGCGGGGCCCGCUCUACCGACUCGCCCUAGUCUUUUGCUUUCUUUUUCUGCCCUCGGCCUCGCUCUUGCGCACGGGACCACAAUGCUCCGCGCCGCUUGUCAUUGGGAGGCGCCGAAGGUGGGGGGGGUCGGCUCGGAAGGAAAAGAUCACUCACUCUUGGGGGCAUCCAGCAGCCAUGUUGUGAGGACACUCAAGCAGCUGUGAAGAGGCACACCUGGAGAGGAACUGAGGCCUCCCACCAAAACCAAGCACUGACAUGCCACUCAUGGCAAUCACAGGAAUAUAUAAAACAUGAGCAGAAAGAGGCCUUUGGAGAAAUCUGGACCAGCAUUCUCAUUUUACGGAUGAGGGACCGCAGCCCAUGGAGGUUUCCAUAGAUGAUUGGAAAAACCCAAGAGUUGGUCCUCUGUUCCAGACCCCACACAGACACAAACCUACAAGCCAAGGGAGCCAGUAUUUGGCCAUUCUUCCAUCCAUCUGCAUGUCCCAGGGAUGCACAAACAGGGAACACUUCAGCCUUUCGGCUGCCUUCAAAGAAGCAAUGAGAGAGAGAGAGAGGGUUACUUUGAUGAGUGAGCAGAUACCAGGUACUGUUUUGGGGAAACUGCUUUUCUCUGAGUCUAUAUUGGUCUGCACAAAUAAACUAAAAUGCUUUUGAAGUUGUUUUAUGAUCU
rnacentral:antisense_RNA from 1 species